rnacentral:rRNA from 1 species
UUUAAUUUAAGGUCUGGUCUGCUCAAUGAAUAUUUAAAUUGCCGCAGUAUUUUGACUGUGCAAAGGUAGCAUAAUAAUUAGUUUCUUAAUUGGGAACUGGAAUGAAUGAUUGGACGAGAAAAUUACUGUCUCUUAAAGAUGGUUUAUUUAAUUUUAUUUUUAAGUUAAAAAGCUUAAAUGUUAAUAAAAGACGAGAAGACCCUAUAGAGUUUAAUAUUUUUAAUUUAUUNGUUUUUGGUAAAUUUCUUAAGUUUUAAGUAUUUAGUUGGGGUGACUUAAAGAUUUAAAAAAUUCUUUAAAAGUUUAAUUGUUGAUAAUCAAUUUUUAAAUCUAGUUUUUUAAAUUUAAAAUUAAUUACCUUAGGGAUAACAGCGUAAUUUUUCUUUAAAGUUCCAAUUGAAAGAAAAUUUUGCGACCUCGAUGUUGGAUUAAAAUUAAUUUUUGGUGCAGUAACUUAAAAAUUAGGUCUGUUCGACCUUUAAAAUUUUACAUGAUCUGAGUUUAAACCGGUGUAAGCCAGGUUGGAUUCUAUCUUUAUUGUUAUAUUAUAUUUUAGUACGAAAGGACCAAGUAUAAAUUAAAAUUUAAUUG